AAGAGACAGCAGUCGCCGCGGUAACACGAAGGGUGCAAGCGUUAAUCGGAAUUACUGGGCAUAAAGCGUGCGUAGGCGGUGAGUUAAGUCUGCUGUGAAAUCCCCGGGCUCAACCUGGGAAUGGCAGUGGAUACUGGCUCGCUAGAGUGUGUCAGAGGAUGGUGGAAUUCCCGGUGUAGCGGUGAAAUGCGCAGAGAUCGGGAGGAACAUCAGUGGCGAAGGCGGCCAUCUGGGACAACACUGACGCUGAGGCACGAAAGCGUGGGGAGCAAACAGGAUUAGAUACCCCUGUAGUCCCUGUCUCUUAUAC
rnacentral:rRNA from 1 species